GACGAACGCUGGCGGCGUGCCUAAUACAUGCAAGUUGAGCGCUGAAGGUUGGUACUUGUACCAACUGGAUGAGCAGCGAACGGGUGAGUAACGCGUGGGGAAUCUGCCUUUGAGCGGGGGACAACAUUUGGAAACGAAUGCUAAUACCGCAUAAAAACUUUAAACACAAGUUUUAAGUUUGAAAGAUGCAAUUGCAUCACUCAAAGAUGAUCCCGCGUUGUAUUAGCUAGUUGGUGAGGUAAAGGCUCACCAAGGCGAUGAUACAUAGCCGACCUGAGAGGGUGAUCGGCCACAUUGGGACUGAAACACGGCCCAAACUCCUACGGGAGGCAGCAGUAGGGAAUCUUCGGCAAUGGACGAAAGUCUGACCGAGCAACGCCGCGUGAGUGAAGAAGGUUUUCGGAUCGUAAAACUCUGUUGGUAGAGAAGAACGUUGGUGAGAGUGGAAAGCUCAUCAAGUGACGGUAACUACCCAGAAAGGGACGGCUAACUACGUG
rnacentral:rRNA from 1 species